rnacentral:rRNA from 1 species
GACGAACGCUGGCGGCGUGCUUAACACAUGCAAGUCGAACGGUAACAGGGGCUUCGGCCCGCUGACGAGUGGCGGACGGGUGAGUAACACGUAGGAAUCUACCCAGUAGCGGGGGAUAGCUCGGGGAAACCCGGAUUAAUACCGCAUACGCCCGAUAGGGGAAAGCAGGGGAUCUUUUAGACCUUGCACUAUUGGACGAGCCUACGUCUGAUUAGCUUGUUGGUAGGGUAAUGGCCUACCAAGGCGACGANCAGUAGCUGGUCUGAGAGGACGAUCAGCCACACUGGGACUGAGACACGGCCCAGACUCCUACGUGAGGCAGCAGUGGGGAAUAUUGGACAAUGGGGGAAACCCUGAUCCAGCAAUGCCGCGUGUGUGAAGAAGGGCCUGCGGGUUGU